CACGCCAUGAAUUAGUCACAAUGGCUAUGUGAUAUAUUUUGCCCUUCUAAUGUGCACUGGCCCCCUUGUUUCUUUGAGUGCUAAAGUAUUUUGGUAAAAAAAAACAAUUCUUGGGUAGAGGCUGCUUCAUAGUAGUUUUCUAGCGCCAAAUAUUACAAACCCUUCUCGAAGUUCUUUUGAUACAUCACAAUUUUGCAUGAGAGUGGCGUUUUGGCUCCUAGGUGCAUAUGCACCCAUUGUCGAAAUCCAAAUUCCUAGAAGUUGAAAAAUUCGAAACAAAAAUCCCGCGUGUAUAUCCGGACAUUUUAUGUGCUUUCACAAGGUUUCGGUGAAAAACGACGUUUUUUGUGGCUUGUGUAAAAAAGACAAUUUCUGAUGCUUCAUUCUAACUAUUCACGAGGCAUUUCUUUAUCUUUUUUACACAAGCCACAAAAAACGUCGUUUUUCACUGAAACCUUGUGAACGCACAUAAAAUGUCCGGAUAUACACGCGGGAUUUUUGUUUCGAAUUUUUUAACUUCUCGGAAUUUGGAUUUCGACAAUGGGUGCAUAUGCACCUAGGAGCCAAAGGCAAUUACCGAUUUUGCAUGCAGUAUCUCAUUCUCGGGGUGCUGUACAGAAGUGUGUACUCUGAUAGAUGUUAUCUGUUGAAACAUACAACGUACGUACCAAAACGCUGCCAAGAUUUGGUUCAUCUCUAGUUAUGUAUAUAAUGUAUAAAUAAGUACCAAGAAGUGCUUAUUGUCCGCCCUAAUUAUGCCUAUGUGAGCUCGUUAGGUUUUGAUCAAUGGUAUGCCAGUAUGUGUUCAUGUACCCGGCAAUGUACAUUUUGCAUGUGUAGAGGUACACUAUCGGUUUACAUAGAAGCAGUAACAGUUUUAUGUUGAACCCUUGUACCGACCGAACACCGAACGUUUGUUGGAAGACAUAGCAAUUGCGAAGGAUUUGAAUGGCAAUU
rnacentral:lncRNA from 1 species